rnacentral:rRNA from 1 species
UACGUAGGGUGCAAGCGUUAAUCGGAAUUACUGGGCGUAAAGCGUGCGCAGGCGGUUGUGCAAGACCGAUGUGAAAUCCCCGGGCUUAACCUGGGAAUGGCAUUGGUGACUGCACGGCUAGAAUGUGUCAGAGGGGGGUAGAAUUCCACGUGUAGCAGUGAAACUGCGUAGAGAUGUGGAGGAAUACCGAUGGCGAAGGCAGCCCCCUGGGAUAACACUGACGCUCAUGCACGAAAGCGUGGGGAGCAAACAGG